rnacentral:rRNA from 1 species
CCUACGGGGAGCAGCAGUGAGGAAUAUUGGUCAAUGGACGAGAGUCUGAACCAGCCAAGUAGCGUGAAGGAUGACUGCCCUAUGGGUUGUAAACUUCUUUUAUAUGGGAAUAAAACGUUCCACGUGUGGGAUUUUGUAUGUACCAUAUGAAUAAGGAUCGGCUAACUCCGUGCCAGCAGCCGCGGUAAUACGGAGGAUCCGAGCGUUAUCCGGAUUUAUUGGGUUUAAAGGGAGCGUAGGUGGAUUGUUAAGUCAGUUGUGAAAGUUUGCGGCUCAACCGUAAAAUUGCAGUUGAAACUGGCAGUCUUGAGUACAGUAGAGGUGGGCGGAAUUCGUGGUGUAGCGGUGAAAUGCUUAGAUAUCACGAAGAACUCCGAUUGCGAAGGCAGUUCACUGGACUGCAACUGACACUGAGGCUCGAAAGUGUGGGUAUCAAACAGGAUUAGAUACCCCGGAAGUC